GAAGCAGCAACGCCGCGUGAGGGAUGACGGCCUUCGGGUUGUAAACCUCUUUCAGCAGGGACUAAGCGAAAGUGACUGUACCUGCGGAAGAAGCGCCGGCUAACUACGUGCCAGCAGCCGCGGUAAUACGUAGGGCGCAAGCGUUGUCCGGAUUUAUUGGGCGUAAAGAGUUCGUAUGCGGUCUGUCGCGUCGGAAGUGAAAACCCGGAGUUCACUCCGGGCCGGUUUUCAUUAC
rnacentral:rRNA from 1 species